AUGUCUGGCUGCGCUCCAGCUCUCGGGGACCUGUGUGACACGGCUGUCCCCAGACCCCUCCAGCCCAGCGGGACGCUGGUUCCCGCGCCCCCCGACUUGUCCCCCGCUGUCACACUGUCCCUCUCUCUCUGCCCAGGCCCCCCCCUCGGACAGGCCGCCCCCCCCCACACGCCCGCUGCCCGCAGACCCUGUGCUGCUGAGCGCUCAGCCCCCAGGUCCAGCCAAGCCCCCACCACCGCAGCGGCCGCUGCCCUCACACCCCCCGGGCCCUUCGGUGUCCCGCAGCGAGACCCCCCCUGGGCACCCCUAUGUCACCGUGAUUCCUGCCAGGCCCGCCCCGGCCCCGCCAGAGGCCUGAGCCGCGGGCAGGGAAUGCGCAGCGCUGGAUCCGCGGGGAAGGCCGAACCCCACCGGGCUCCGCCGCCCGCUCUUUCUCUCGCCACGUCAAUAAAGGGGCUGUGAGCCGCCUCUGCGCUGCCUCCGGGGCACCGCGACCGGCACCGGGGGGGAGCGGGGCGGAACUACAACUCCCGGC
rnacentral:lncRNA from 14 species